GAUGAACGCUGGCGGCGUGCCUAAUACAUGCAAGUCGAGCGAACAGACGAGGAGCUUGCUCCUCUGACGUUAGCGGCGGACGGGUGAGUAACACGUGGAUAACCUACCUAUAAAACUGGGAUAACUUCGGGAAACCGGAGCUAAUACCGGAUAAUAUAUUGAACCGCAUGGUUCAAUAGUGAAAGACGGUUUUGCUGUCACUUAUAGAUGGAUCCGCGCCGCAUUAGCUAGUUGGUAAGGUAACGGCUUACCAAGGCAACGAUGCGUAGCCGACCUGAGAGGGAGAUCGCCCACACUGGAACUGAGACACGUUCCAGACUACUACGCGAGGCAGCGAUCGUAGAGCUACCGAAAAGGACUAAAGCUUGACGGAGCAACGACUCGUGAGUGACGAAGGUCUUCGGAUCGGAAACCGCUGUUAUCAGGGAACAACAAUCGUGUGAGGAACUAUGCACGUCUAGACGGUACCCAAUCAGAAAGCCACGGCUAACUUCGUG
rnacentral:rRNA from 1 species